GGGCGCCACCCCCCAGCCAUGAUGCAGAGCCAUCAGGUGCCCAGGUUGAAGGCUGCCAUGUUGGGUGGCAUGUGGCCAACAGCAACUCAGAGAAAUCGAAUCUCAUUCCCUUACUGCCAGCACUUCUGCGGGGUUGGUAAUGAACCUUCCCUGUGAGUUCUAGAUUCGAUAUCCUGCUUAUUUUGAAAGGAAAAGAGAAGGAUCUACGGGUCCUGUUAUGUUGGGGACCACCUGCCCCCAGUGCUGUAAUUGUGUGAUUCUUAUUCAUCCAGUUAAGAUGAAUAUUCCCCAACAUUACAAAGAUGUUAAUAUUUACAGAUAUUUAGAGGGGGAAAGGCAGCUACAAGGGACUAUUCACAUGACCAGCAUUCCCUCGGAUGCCAGUAACGACCACAUACAGCCUGGCAUCACCCAAAGGCCCAGGACUGAGGCUCCCGUCCCAAAACCAGGAGACACGGGGGCCAGGGAGGAAGUGCCACUGCACAGAUGUGUGGCAAAGUGCACACUGUGUGGAAGCCUAGGCUCAUGGUAGAGGGCCCCUCUCCUGGCGGGACACCUCCUCCUUACCCACCGGGCCCCCGGGUGGCUGGCCCUCUCAGGUUAGCCUGGGAUGGGGACCAGGAACCUACUACACCAGGGCGACAUUCCCCCACCAUCUGGAUUUCUGAAUGAGCCUCCCUCCACAGGAUACCCUCAGAGCAGAGGUUUUCAGCCAGUCUGGGGCUUGCCCAUACCUCAGUGAUCUUCUUCUUUCCAGCAAGAUAGCGUGCUGGUCAUUGGGGACAUUGCCACCCAGCAAAUAGUCAUUUAUGCAGUCUGGGUUUAGGAACCACCCAGCUAGAGCUUCAAAGGGCCACACACGACCUGGCCGCCCAAAGAUGCUCUGAGGAGGGGUUCCCGUUGUGGCUCCAAGGUAGUGAACCCGACAAGUAUCCAUGAGGACCCAGGUUUGAUUCCUGGCACCACUCAGCAGGUUAAGGACCAGGCAUUGCUGUGAACUUUGGUGCAGGUUGCGGACACAGCUUGGAUUUGGCAUCACUGUGGCUGUGGCAUAGGCUGCAGCUGCAGCUCUGAUCUGACCCCUAGCCUAGAAACUUCCAUAUGCCAUGGGUGCAGCCCUUAAAAAAAAAAAAAAAACAGCUCCCAUUCCAAGAGUUUGAGGAGCUAUGAGCCAAGAAACCAGGCAAAGACCAGACUACAUAUUUAUUAGAAAUCACAAUAUCACACUCACCAAGGGGAAAGUGGGAACCUCUGCCUUGUGACCCCUCUCUCAGCUCAAGAAGCCCCAGCAAGACCAGCCUGAAAACAGGGCCUGUUGGCAGGAGCGGCUGCCUCGAAGUUCUGCCUGGACAAUGUCCAAGAAGGAAGGGAUGGCUGCCCCCGUGGGCAAGGACAAGCUCCCUUCACCGUGGAGGAAAGAACACCUGUUACCCAGGCUGGCUUUGAAGGGUAUUAUUAUUCAGACAACACUGGGGGAAUUCAAAGAGCACGUGGAAUAUUAGCUGCCCCUCAGGGGCACAUGGGUCUCUGCAGAUGGGCAGAGAGGUGGUCUUUUAGGAACCAACUUCAAAAGAUGGCUUUCUGGAUUUGCAGCAACAUGGAUGGAUCUAGAAAUGAUCAUGCUAAAUGAAGUAGGUCACACGGUGAGACACCAGCAUCAAAUGUUUUCACUGACAUGUGCAAUCUAAAAAAGGACACAAUGAACUUCUUUGCAGAACAGAUACUGACUCACAGACUUUGAAAAACUUAUGGUUUCCAAAGGAGACAGGUUGUGGGGUGGGGUGAUGCCCUGGGGGUUGGGGAUGAAAGAGCUGUAAAAUUUGAUUGUGAUGAUUGUUGUACGCCUAUAAAUGUAAUCAAAUUCAUUAAGUAAUUAAAAAAUGAUGGCUUUCUGGGACAAAACCUUGCAUAUUUCCUACACAGUCAGUGUUGUUUCUAGAGCUGGCAGCCCUGAGGGCACAAAAUAGAAAUGGAGCCACGGUCACAGCAGGGCGAGGAGGCUCUCACUCGGGAGUCUUUCUUGGAAAAGAAAAAGAGUCAACAGUAAGCACGGGUUGGCACAGGGCCUGCAGCUCUGAUUCUGGAAGCAGACUGUCGGGGCACCCACAGCGGCGGCUGGGUUUCCCUCUUUCCUAGUCUCGAUGAUCAGCAGUGGAAGCCACGUUCCAGGAACACUCCAUCUGGACCCAGGGACGCAUCUCUUAUUUCUGGCAAACUUCUGAGUUUUUGAGAAAGAAACUGCCUGAAAGAGGCAAACUAGGCCAGGGGACAUUCUGCCCCAAAGGCAAGUGCUGGGACCUUUCGGGGAUUCAGUGUGGUGAUGGGGACGGAUUGGCAAGCAGGUGCCCGGGACCACAGACUGGCCCUGGCCAGCCCCUCCCCAGGCUUCUUGGGACCCCGAGAUCAGUCUAGCUCUGGCAGGGGUAACUGUGGGGGAUCCAUGCUGGAAGGGGGCACAGAAGGGCUGCUUAUACUGACAGGGUUCACUCUGUGCCAAAUCUGUGUGACAGAGACCCAGGGUCGGCAAAGCCAUUCUUAGAAGAACCAGACGUGGAUCGCCACCACACGAAAAGAGAGCAAGGUUAGUGAGCUCAUGCUGCCAGUGAGCAGGGCGACAGGGAAUCCAAGUUUCCCCUGGCACCAAAAUCCUGGCACCCACACCCACCUUCCCAACCCCCACAUGUCCCGUGCUCCCAAUCCCCCACACCCCAGGCCCCUACACGCCCAGAUCCCUCCCCAUCCAUGCUCCCACACCCCACAGGACCUAUACCUCCAGCCUCCACUUUCCCGUCUUCUCUUUCCUACGGCCCAUCUCCCACAGCCUCGUCCCCACACAGCCUGGACUCAGCUGCCCCAACCCCUCGACCUGAGGGUCACUGAGCAAGAGGAUGAGAGAAGAAACUUGGGGCUCCAGGUGUGGGAAGUUCUGGGCCGGGUCCGGGGUGGGGGCUCAGGGAAGAAGCCAGAGACCCGGCCCUCCACAGGGCAGCACAAGAGCUGGACAGGGAGGCAGCCAAGGGCUGGGACUGGGGGAGGGGAGGGGACAAGGGCCCAUGAUGUCAGGCCUGCUGGAGCAAGGCCAACCAGCAAGCAGACCCCAGAGGGAAGCUCAGCCCGCAGGUCCCCGGGCCGCUGCCUGCCUCGCUUCAGCGAGGAACUGACUGAGGGACUCAGAGGCUAAGGGACACCUUCUCUCAAGGCAGGUGUGAUAAAGCAAGGGGACCAUGCCUGACCCCUGCAGGUGUUUGUGGAAUGUCACUUCCCCUCCCUUUCCAAUGCCACAGGCCCCUGUCAAUAGCAAGUAGCCUUUCGGGAAUGUUGGGAUGGUGCCACCUCCCUCCUUUGAGGGAGAAGACCCUCCUCCCUGCCAGGCUGCCUGUGACUCAGGGGACCCACUCAUAUGGUGUGUUUGAGACUUGCCCUGUCCCCACUAUGGGGUCUGUGAGACCACAGUUUCACUCUCCUGCAGGAUGCUAUUUGUGGGGGACCAGGGGCUACCCAGUUCCUUCUCCCUUCUCCUUUGCCCUGUUUCCUAAGUGUGUGGGCACAUGCAUGAGUGUGCCCACACACACACACACACACACACACACGCACCCAGGAAAGCAAGUUUUUCCAUAGACCCUUUCUUUAAAGUAAACUCUCUUGACGGCACCACAUCAGCUCCAGGCUAUUUUUUUUUUUUUUUUUUUUUUUUUUUUUGCUUUUUUUGCUUUUUUUGUUUGUUUGUUUGUUUUUAAGGGCUGUACCCACCCCACAGUAUAUGGAAGUUCCUAGGCUAGGGGUUAAAUUGGAGCUACAGCUGCUGGCCUAUACCACAGUCACAGCAACAUGGGAUCUAAGCCCUAUCCGUGACCUACACAACAGCCCAGGGCAACUCUGGAUCCUUAACCCACUGAGUGAGGCCAGGAUCGCACCUGCAUUCUCAAUGGAUACUCGUCAGAUUUGUUACCGCUGAGCCACAACAGGAACUUCUCCAAAUAGAACUUCUCCCAGAGGUUCUGUGGGCCAGUAAGUCAUACUGGCUAAUCCCAGCUCCAGGCGAAUUCUACCCCAUCAGUCCCUUAAACAUGCUGGGAGUCUUCUGCCCCUGGGCCUUUGCACGCACGGUUACUUCUAUCUGGGAUAGCCUUUCACACAUAUACAUCACCUGCAUCCCUCACACAGGUCCUCCAGCUCUCAGUGCAGGGUUCCCUCCUUAGCAUGUGUCUCCUUGCACUACGUGGGCUCCUCACACUUUGGGACUGUGUGCUGACUUCUGUCAUCUCCCGAUGUGUGUUAUUUUUCAGCCCGCACGUCCCAUCCUCCCAGAUCAGGAUCUGCCCCCCAACCCCCCGCCCUGUGUGUCUGGGACUUCUAAAACAGAAUCUGGCACACAGUAGGUUCAUAAAACAUAUUACAUGAAUAACAGAAUUCAGAGGCACCUUAAAUGGAAGCCCCAAACCUACACUAUCGCUUGACGGCUCCCCACCCCCUCAUUCUAUGUUCACAUUCCAGGAGCAUAGAGGAUAGCAGACCGGGCCCGACAGCAUCCAGACACCUGUGGGAUUUCCUGUCCUCUCCGUGGGCAACAGGAAGAAGGACAUUUUCCCUUCCAGGAUUUGAAGCUCUGUAGUUGACCUUGUCAAAGUUCUACUUCCGUCUGGUAAGUUCUGACAUCACACAGGCUCCUCAGACCCCCAGCCAGAGCGGCAAUGUAAGGACCACCUCUCCCACUUCUCCCAGAGGUUGUGUUGGCUAGUAAGUCAUACCCUGUCUCCAUGGGCUUUUCACACUCGCCUAAGUGCUGAGCGUUUCCUGAUAUUCAGAAGGAAGGUAAGCCAGCUGAGACCUUGACUCUGGCAGCGGGAGCCCCGAUUAACCUUCACCCACAGAGGCUUGUGGGAAUUUUGGGCCACUCUGCUCACUGGUAAGCACCCAGCCCCAUCAGAUGGGCUGCAGGGAUUAGACAGGCAGGACGGGUGCCCCGAGGAAAAGCAAAAGUGCCCAGCAGCUGGGCAUCGGGGAACAAACCACAGAGAAGGUGGAAGUAAUGCAACUUCAGGCAGGUUGAGACUCUGUCUCAGGGCGGCACAAGGAGCCACAUCCCUUCAUCCGAGGCCAAGGGGCAGAGAGGGAUUUUCAGCCAAUAUUUGUUGAACACCGGCCAGGGGAGGUGGCACCUACCAGGGUCAGAGGAAAGCUGGGUCAGUCCCGCCCUUCAAAGAACCACAUGGACAAGACUGGAGAGCCUGAUGGUGGGGUGACAUUUAUGACUUUUGACCAAGCAAACAUGGUGGCGACAGGUGGCCUGAUGGUCCCCGCUCCUGCUCAAAGGUAGGGGGCCGUCCACGUGUGCCACCAGCUGGGCCCCCUCACACUGAACUGAGCUGCAUCCAAACAUUUCCAAAGUACAUGCCAGCGAAAAGGCUUGAGCUCCCUAAUGGUGACUAAAUACUCUGUGACCGAGAGAAAGGAUUAGAGACAAAAGCUAAUAGUUUGCUUUAAGCAAAAAUAACACUCAUCAUUAACAACACUAAAGAAGGUCACUUUAUUAUUCUGUCUCAAUGUGCCCCAUUUCAACAAUGCUGGAAAAUGCCCAGCGAAGAAAGGAUGCCACAUAUAAUCCACAGUGCUGGGAGUUCCCUCUGCGGCUUAUCAGGUUAAGAACCCAACUCAUACCCACGAGGACUCAGGUUCAAUCCCCGGCCUGAGAGUGGGUUAAGGAUCCGGUGUGGUCAUGAGCUAUGGUGUAAGUUGCAGACUCGGCUCAGAUCCCACAUUGCUGUGGCUGUGGUGUGAACUGACAGCUGCAGCUCUGAUUUGACGCCGAAUGCCUGGUACCUCCAUAUGCCUUGGGCGCAGCCCUUAAAAAAAAAAAAAAAA
rnacentral:lncRNA from 1 species